rnacentral:lncRNA from 1 species
AGGUUCCUAUCCAUUUCCUAAGGGAGGUAGGAUAGUCAUGCAGUUGCCCAUAAGCAGCGUCCUUCGGGAGACGCAGGGCGACAACCAAGGCAUCCUACAAGAUGUGUAGAACACGCCCGGAGUCCCUUAAGGGGGACCCUGGCACUUGCUAAUUUUCCUAAAGGGAACCAUCCUACGGGAUAUGCAGAGCAUGCCCGGAGUCCUUCAAG